rnacentral:rRNA from 1 species
GAUGAACGCUGGCGGCGUGCUUAACACAUGCAAGUCGAACGAAACACCUUAUUUGAUUUUCUUCGGAACUGAAGAUUUGGUGAUUGAGUGGCGGACGGGUGAGUAACGCGUGGGUAACCUGCCCUGUACAGGGGGAUAACAGUCAGAAAUGACUGCUAAUACCGCAUAAGACCACAGCACCGCAUGGUGCAGGGGUAAAAACUCCGGUGGUACAGGAUGGACCCGCGUCUGAUUAGCUGGUUGGUGAGGUAACGGCUCACCAAGGCGACGAUCAGUAGCCGGCUUGAGAGAGUGAACGGCCACAUUGGGACUGAGACACGGCCCAAACUCCUACGGGAGGCAGCAGUGGGGAAUAGUGCACAAUGGGGGAAACCCUGAUGCAGCGACGCCGCGUGAGUGAAGAAGUAUCUCGGUAUGUAAAGCUCUAUCAGCAGGGAAGAAAAUGACGGUACCUGACUAAGAAGCCCCGGCUAACUACGUGCCAGCAGCCGCAGUAACAC